GAUGAACGCUGGCGGCGUGCUUAACACAUGCAAGUCGAACGAAGCAGAUUGAGAUCUUCGGAAGGAUAUCUGACUGAGUGGCGGACGGGUGAGUAACGCGUGGGUAACCUGCCUCAUACAGGGGGAUAACAGUUAGAAAUGACUGCUAAUACCGCAUAAGCGCACAGUAUCGCAUGGUACAGUGUGAAAAACUCCGGUGGUAUGAGAGGGACCCGCGUCUGAUUAGCUAGUUGGUGGGGUAACGGCCUACCAAGGCGACGAUCAGUAGCCGACCUGAGAGGGUGACCGGCCACAUUGGGACUGAGACACGGCCCAAACUCCUACGGGAGGCAGCAGUGGGGAAUAUUGCACAAUGGGCGAAAGCCUGAUGCAGCGACGCCGCGUGAGUGAAGAAGUAUUUCGGUAUGUAAAGCUCUAUCAGCAGGGAAGAAAAUGACGGUACCUGACUAAGAAGCACCGGCUAAAUACGUGCCAGCAGCCGCCGUAAUAC
rnacentral:rRNA from 1 species